CGCGGCUGCGACCAGGAAGCACCAACCAGGAACCAAAACGCGUAGAGGGACGGGGAGGGGCGAGGACAAAUGAGGCAAUGACCCCCAGAAGGCAGAACUACGACCAAUGGACAGAAGUUACGUGAAAGCUGAUGUGCACUCCAUGAGGGAAAGAAAUUCCUGGCAGCCAUUCCACAGUGAAAGGAGCUAGUGAGCUCACUGUCCCUGGAGGAUCUGAGGCUUUCUUCCCCAUCCAGCUCUGCCCAGCUGUGUGUUUCCCCAGCAAUUCUAGAUCCGACAUUGUCUUUUCAGAAAUUUAGCAGCAAUAUCAUAACAGCUGUUAACCUAUGGCUCUUGGAUGUGCUUGAGUUGAAUUUUGUUGUUCUUUGCUUCCUCUCUUACAGUGCUGGCAAAGGAUACUCUGAAAAAACCCAUAAAUUUUGUAGCGUGAUUUCUGUCGACCUCCUCCUAUACAAACAUUCACUCACAACUCCUGUCAAAUGCUGGGCCAUCAGCUCCUCUACCAAAGGAGAAAUAUAUUUAG